ACAACGUGGUUGUGUGUUUAUGUAGGGAUUUUUUAAAUUUGUUUAUCAUGGCAGACGAUUCCGUUAUUGAUGAAAUUCCCGCAGAAAUGAAAAAAAAACUGUUUUCGUUUAACACAGCCCUUACAGAACUGGAAACAACGCUGGACCCUCUAAUAUCGUGUCCGCACUCGGUCCUGUCAGAAAGUUUGGAAUCGCUAGAAUUGGGGAAAAUGGAGCUAGUCACUGCAUACACAAUAAACUCAUUGUUUUGGAUGUAUCUAAAUGUGUGUGGUGUUAACCCUAAAGAACAUGCAGUGAAGCAGGAACUGGAGAGAAUACGAAGCUACAUGAAACGUGUGACGGAGAUUCAAGAGAAGGCCAACGCCCCGAAACUGAACAAACCAGCAGCUAAACGCUUCAUUAAAAGUGCCCUGUGGCAGGCCGCACAGAACAAAGGAGAAAAGCCAUCGAAUACAGAAGUUUUUUCAGCAGGAAGAAAGAGAAAAGUGCCACCAUAAUUGUUGUUGUAUUAGUUUACAAACAGUAAACUUGGUGUUCCUGUCCGUUUAAACUGUGAUUGCCAAUGUGCACUGUUUUACUGCCAAAUGUGAAUGUCAAGCUUUGUGCCAGAAAAAAUACGUUGAGGUUGCAGAGUUCUGUUCUGAGUGUUCGACUUUGCGCAAAGCUGAAAUGACCUUACUACCCAAUGAGAAUGAACAUCCCAUGGCCUUGACAACUUAAAUUGUGACUCUACAGGCCCAUUAUUGAUGCUGUGCACUGCACUGUGUGCCCUCCCUGAGAAGUUUCUGCUGAAAGUUGUGUGUCUUGUUUUUUGACACCCUGCAACAGCCGGUGCUGGUAUGUUCAUGCAGAGACACAGGAGCCGGAAGUUUUGAACCCCAAUGGGCAUUAUAGUGAGACCGAUCUGCACAGAUACAUUUGGCUGAGCUGCCUUACGACCUCGGGACUUUUGGUUGGAAUUGUCGACCUCUGUGUACAAGUUGUACAUACUAGAGUGGUAUGUACA